rnacentral:rRNA from 1 species
UAGCGGCGAGCGAAACGGGAAGAGCCCAAACCCACCAGCUUGCGUGUUGGGGUUGUAGGACACUCUAUACGGAGUUACAAAGGACGACAUUAGACGAAUCAUCUGGAAAGAAGAAUCAAAGAAGGUAAUAAUCCUGUAGUCGAAAAUGUUGUCUCUCUUGAGUGGAUCCAGAGUACGACGGAGCACGUGAAAUUCCGUCGGAAUCUGUGAGGACCAUCUCCUAAGGCGAAAUACUCUCUAGUGACCGAUAGUGAACCAGUACCGUGAGGGAA